AAUACAUAUUAAAUAAAGCUAAAAUAGUUAGCAUAGCCCGAAGCUUCUAAUUAAAAUAACAAACGUACUUCUACCAGGCUUUCAGAAAACUCAACGCCGCGGUCUACCUAUAUCGGGAAAGAGAAAGAGGUUAGUCAAGAGGAAUGAAAAUGAAUUCGCUAAGGUUUCCAGAAGUCCAAACCGCCGUAGCACAACAUUUCAGUUUUCGCUUUGUGUACAAAUGUUUCCGUAUUAUAUCGCAAGCUGGCGCAGCAGAGAGCCAGGAUGUUCCUGGCAGUAGUUCGCGAUUAUAUACAUACCAUAUAUACAUAUAUAUACAAAGAGGGUGGUGAAACGAAGGCAGGGUCGGCAACCAUCGAGGGGUUGGCUUUGGCGUCUCGUUACAGCGGUUGGCUGUAGAGGUGGUUAGGAUGGCGUAGGCCAGAGGGUGAGCCGUUCGCCGUGUUUUUCACCGAUUGAAUCAAUUAAAGGGAAAAACUCCAGCCGCGCGUUCUCUAACACAGCCAGCUCAAAUAUUCAUACCAACCUUUAUACUCUUGUCUCAUGCUUUGAAAAACUGGUUAGAUUAGGUUAGGUUGUAGGGAUGACGAAGAGUGACCGAAAAAAUCAGAAACACCAAGACAACGUACCUCAGUUCGUAUCCCUCGCGAUAUUCAUGCCGUGAGCAGCACCGCUUCUUAAGGUUGGCAAGACUUACCGGUAAUAGUAGACUGUUAAUCCUGCCAUCCGGCUUGUUUGAUAAAUAAUAUCAUCGCUACCCUAAUCAGGAUUGUGUAAGAUGUCGAUUACGUUAUAGCGGAACACGAAAGAGGUUAAGUAUGAAUCUGUGAUACACGUACCUUCUAAUUUGGAGUAUUAUAACACUGUCAAAAGAUAGGAUGACAAGAUUACAAGAAAAGACAGGAGCCACCUAUAACAAAUAAGUUACUCUGUUGACUGGGAGACAGCUCGCUGUGACAUCCGGCAAUAAUGGCUGUAGAAAAGCCGAUUCAGCAAAUCAGAGUCUUUCACGCCAUGGAAUUCCUAAUUGACAGUCCCGUGGCGGAAGUCCUGUUAGUCCUGGGCACGGACGAUUCACCGUCGUAAGCGGAAAAUAAAAAACGUGUCCAAGUGGUAGUCUAAGCAUGGGACAAACAUGGAAUGGGAUUGAAAAUAUUGUAGAGGAAAAAUUGAAUAAUUUAAUUAUUUUCUUUUAGAAUAAAUGAAGUCAUUUUAAUAUAUUAAUAUGUCCUAUAGAGGGAUGAAAUAAUCGUCUUGAUUUUAUAUCACGGAUGAGAGCUUGAAGAGACUCCUGGUUAACGACAUCGGGCACGAUGCCCCACAGGUGCAACGAGGCGUGUGUAAUCAAAUGCACAGUGAAGCCCCAAGGUUUGGUGAAGCUUGAAAGCACUGGGAAGCCCCUACGAAAUCUUUACAUAUGCAUGGACCACUAGCGAUACCAUAGAAAGACGUGGUUAAUGAAACCGUUCACAUUCUGGGCAAGGGUCCACUAGUGAAAACAAGAGUUCGUAUAUCAGAGUGACGAUAAACAAGAUGGCUGGAGGUCUUAGGUAAUACAGCUGGUACAUUACAAACAGACAAAAAGGAGAUAAGAGAUGAAAUUUAAUAUCAGCAAAAAUAACUGAAUCUGUCAAGGAUAUUUUAAAAUCAAAUAACUAGGGUGUCGAUGGUACUGAUUUUAAUGUAGUUUAAAAAUACCCCUUCAAGAUAAUUGAAUUAGACAUAACAACGAUGGGAUAGCAAAGAAAGAUGUAAUGCGGACGUGAUGUAAAAGUUCAAUGCUGGUAAAGAUUAGAGAAACGCAUUGUUCAUAUCGUAUAAGAGAAUAAUAGUAAGGGCUUUGUGGGUGGAGCCAAUAUUGAUAAAAUAGCGCGCGGAAUAUUUUGAAAUUGGAUCUUUUAAUUUGUAAAUAGAGAUAUUACUCCCAUUACGGGGAUUGUAUUGUGAAU